rnacentral:rRNA from 1 species
GAUGAACGCUGGCGGCGUGCCUAAUACAUGCAAGUCGAGCGAACAGACGAGGAGCUUGCUCCUCUGACGUUAGCGGCGGACGGGUGAGUAACACGUGGAUAACCUACCUAUAAGACUGGGAUAACUUCGGGAAACCGGAGCUAAUACCGGAUAAUAUAUUGAACCGCAUGGUUCAAUAGUGAAAGACGGUUUUGCUGUCACUUAUAGAUGGAUCCGCGCCGCAUUAGCUAGUUGGUAAGGUAACGGCUUACCAAGGCAACGAUGCGUAGCCGACCUGACAGGGUGAUCGGCCACACUGGAGCUGAGACACGGUCCAGACUCCUACGGGAGGCAGCAGUAGGGAAUCUUCCGCAGUGGGCGAGAGCUUGACGCAGCAACGCCGCGUGAGUGAUGAAGGUCUUCGGAUCGUAAAACUCUGUUAUUAGGGAAGAACAAAUGUGUAAGUAACUAUGCACGUCUUGACGGUACCUAAUAAGAAAGCAACGGCUAACUACGUG